GAACCCUUGGCACAGUGGUAGCGCGUGAGAUUCCAGUUGAAGGAGUAAUCCUUCCAAGGGAGAUCCUCAAGGUCGUCCGUUCGAUCCGGGCAGGGUUCA